CAAAUUCGCUUGGCAGAUGGAAAGCAAUCGAUUAGAAUCUGUACAGGACAUGUUUCCACGGAGCCGCCGUUGAUUUGAACAGAGAUCUAUUGAUGGAAGCAAUUGAAAGAAGGCCGGAAACAAAUUUUUGAGUAAAAUGAAAAGGAAAGCAACUAGAAGUAUAUGAUAACAACGAUUAAACUUCAUCCACUGGAUUUUCAUGAUUCUCGUUUCCAAGAAGGACGACAGCUCUGCAAACGGAGAUUAUGAUUGACUUUUGAAACGGAGAGGGGAAAAACUCACUGAUGACAUCGCUUUCCGUGAACUGAGACUCGAACGGUUGGAGAGUCGCCAGUGGAAGUUGGCGAUAAGCUUGAUCUACAUCCAAAUAGUCGGAGAAAUGCGUGACGGUAUUCAGAAGAACACAGAGCAUAAAGGUAGCCAUACCUUGUGACUUGAAGAAGAUUUGCAAUGGCACGGAAUAUCUGCCAAAACAAUGAACCACUAACUCGUCUGAAAUGCUGUCCAGUUCAAAGAAUUCUCAAAAUAUUAAGACUUACCGAACGAAGAAAGAUAUAACGGAGGCAGGAAUAUUGCAGAUGAUAAAAGUAGCAGAUGUAACGAACAGAAGAACUGAUAUACGACUGCGAUCAUCGCGCGGCGACCGAAGUUGGCGUUGAGCUAAUGUUUCAGUCCGACUGUUUUGUGAUGGCUGUCUCCAGAACCAAUUACGUUUGUCAAUUUUCCGCAGGCCACGAACGACGCACAUGUUCAGGAUAACAAGAAGUAGAACGGGACCCCAGCGGCAGAUACACUGAAAAUUAAACAUAAAAACUACUUUUAAAAAAAUUCGAUUCACUUACUUCUCUUACUAUAAGAUAGAAUUUAAAAA
ensembl:ncRNA AH9.7 ncRNA